GAACUGUGUAUGAACAUCUGUGUUUGUCUUUGUUGUCUGAUAAAUCCAAUACAAUCCAAGAUGAGGUAACUUGUCUGGCAACAGCCUGAAUGUGAUUGCAGCAGAGUUCAUCAUAUAGGCUAUAAAAGCAGGUGCAACCAGGUCACAGCCAGACGUUUUCCUUAAUUCUCACUGGAAAGCAUCAACACCUCAAAGAGAAGCCAUGAAGCCAGUGAUCGUGCUGUACGUUGCGCUGAUGAUGAUUGCACUGGUGUGCAAUGCUUAUGCUGCAUGUCACAAUGGAAGAUGUGCCCGGAAAUGUAGUAAUAAUGAAUAUAUAGACCAUGGCUCAUACUGUGGGGGUGGAAAUGUGUAAGUGUAAAUCGAUAGACUGGUUUUUAUCCAUAGACAUCUUUGGUCUUUUUACUGUGUGCAUGUGACUUGUGGCAUGAAAUUAUAUUUAUUUUGUCAGAUGCUGUGUUGAAAACGGCAAUUGAAGAACAUCCGUGAAGGAAGACUGUGUGGAUCAAGCAACAUUACAUUCUUCCAUUUAAGUUUUGGUCAAAACAGUCAGACACUUACACAAGAGAUGGAUUAAUCAUGAUUUGUGUUUAAGCCUGUUUGAUGCCAGUUUGAAUAAAAUGAAAUAUCACAACUAUGAGUAUCUGUGA
rnacentral:lncRNA from 1 species